ACAGCUUCAGUGUAGUUCAUUUUAAAGGCAGGAUGCCAGAGAAGCUGUGGGUGGAUUUCAGCCCGGGUUUUGGUGCAACUCCCCUCCGUUUUGCUAUCGAGUCCAAUACAGCGGCUGAGCGGAUGGGCUGAAGUGAAGCUGGUCGUCUCUGCUCGGCGUGAGUGAUGAGCAGUAGAAUAGACAGGCUGUCACAGCACACCUGUAGGCCUGGCAGCCGAGUCCAUCAUUGGGCUGAGCCUUCACAGAGAUUAAAAACACUGCAUCCAUUAGGCCUUGUGUCAGCCGUCAUUAUUCUAUAAAGAAGCGAUUUUGUCACAUCUACAUUCUUCAGGCCGCUAUCCGCACGCAGAUGAAUAAGCGGGAUGUUCCAUCUCCAAACACGGCUCACUUUUGACAGGAACACAACCAUUUGUGACGCCAUCUCCCCAAUACUUCACACAUCCAUUGGGAAGGAAGCAUCAAAUAAGUCUUAAUGCAAUGAUCCCGCAGUCCAUCACCUGAUGGGACUUUAAGUUUUCCAGUCAUAUUUAUUCUCGGAAAUGUACGUUUCGUCCUAGAGCUGUCAUUCAAACGGGCUCACAAUUUAUUCUGCCAUGUGCAUUUAUCUGACAG
ensembl:lncRNA